rnacentral:rRNA from 1 species
GCUAAGAAUCUUGCGCAAUGGGCGAAAGCCUGACGCAGCAAUUCCGCGUGGGGGACGAAGGCCCUCGGGUCGUAAACCCCUUUUGCGAGGGAAGAAGUUCUGACGGUACCUCGCGAAUAAGACACGGCUAACUACGUGCCAGCAGCCGCGGUAAUACGUAGGUGUCAAGCGUUGUCCGGAUUUAUUGGGCGUAAAGAGCCCGCAGGCGGCUUGGUAAGUUUCAGGUGAAAUCUCCUGGCUCAACUGGGAGGGGUCCUGAAAAACUAUCAGGCUUGAGGCAGGGAGAGGGAUGUGGAAUUCCCGGUGUAGUGGUGAAAUGCGUAGAUAUCGGGAGGAACACCAGUGGCGAAGGCGGCAUCCUGGCCCUGUCCUGACGCUCAGGGGCGAAAGCGUGGGGAGCAAACCGGAUUAGAAACCCCGGUAGUCC